CCCUUAGACGUUCUGGGCCGCACGCGCGCUACACUGACCAGUGCAACAAGCAUCCGUCCUUGGCCGACAGGCCCGGGCAAUCUUUGAACGCUGGUCGUGAUGGGGAUAGACGUUUGCAAUUUUUGGUCUUCAACGAGGAAUUCCUAGUAAACGCAAGUCAUCAACUUGCAUUGAUUACGUCCCUGCCCUUUGUACACACCGCCCGUCGCACCUACCGAUUGAAUGGUCCGGUGAAGCCUCCGGAUUGGCGCGCACCUCGGUGCCGCCGAGAAGUUGGCUAAACCUUACCAUUUAGAGGAAGGUGAAGUCGUAACA
rnacentral:rRNA from 1 species